rnacentral:miRNA from 1 species
UGUCUUAAGGCCUGAUUCCACGGGCGCUUUUUCUUGGCGAAAUAUUUCGCAUUUCGCCGAGAAAAAGCGCUCGUGGAAUCAGGCCUUUAGG